AAACGGGAAAACAUUCCAGAAUCUGGAAAAGCCGAGCCGGUAAAAACCCUGGUGCAGCUCAACCCCUCUGGAAACAGCGCUUCGUCUUGUGGCUGUAAGCGCCACGUGCCAGCAAGAAGGGAGACGUUGGAAGCAGCCUUCUGUUUGACAGCUGCGUCUCCAAAACCUGUCUUAAAAUUGAAGAGAGGGGAAAGAAGAUAACUGUAUGAAAUGAAGUCAAUGUGAAAACAUCUUUCCCAGAGGAGUGGCAGGAGACCCAAGCUUUGCAGUCCCUUUUCCUGUUGACUUGAAGUCUCCUGGCAGGCUAAAGAAUUAGUGGGAAAUGCAGAAGGUAGGCUCUUUUAUUGCAUUAUCCCUUCUUGUUAAACUGGAGAUUUUGAAAACUAAAAUCAAGCUCCAUUGUAAUCUGAAAUCUGGCAGAAUAAGAGAUCCAAAUAAAGAAGUCCCAAAUGAAGCAGAACUCUGCAUGAACUGGAGAAAAAUGUCUUCCUCGUGUUCUGGAGGACGCCUGCUGCAAGUAUGCUGCCCUUCAUCUUCCUGUAUCAAAUCUUG